UGGGGAAUUUUGGACAAUGGGGGGAAACCCUGAUCCAGCCAUCCCGCGUGUGCGAUGAAGGCCUUCGGGUUGUAAAGCACUUUUGGCAGGAAAGAAACGUCGCGGGUUAAUACCCCGCGAAACUGACGGUACCUGCAGAAUAAGCACCGGCUAACUACGUGCCAGCAGCCGCGGUAAUACGUAGGGUGCAAGCGUUAAUCGGAAUUACUGGGCGUAAAGCGUGCGCAGGCGGUUCGGAAAGAAAGAUGUGAAAUCCCAGAGCUUAACUUUGGAACUGCAUUUUUAACUACCGGGCUAGAGUGUGUCAGAGGGAGGUGGAAUUCCGCGUGUAGCAUGAAAUGCGUAGAUAUGCGGAGGAACACCGAUGGCGAAGGCAGCCUCCUGGGAUAACACUGACGCUCAUGCACGAAAGCGUGGGGAGCAAACAGGAUUAGAUACCCUGGUAGUCCACGCCCUAAACGAUGUCAACUAGCUGUUGGGGCCUUCGGGCCUUGGUAGCGCAGCUAACGCGUGAAGUUGACCGCCUGGGGAGUACGGUCGCAAG
rnacentral:rRNA from 1 species